UACGGGGGGGGCAAGCGUUGUUCGGAAUUACUGGGCGUAAAGGGCUCGUAGGCGGCCAACUAAGUCGGACGUGAAAUCCCCAGGCUCAACCUGGGAACUGCGUCCGAUACUGGAUGGCUUGAAUCCGGGAGAGGGAUGCAGAAUUCCAGGUGUAGCGGUGAAAUGCGCAGAUAUCAGGAGGAACACCAAUUGCGAAGGCAGCUCGCUGGGACGUUACUGACGCUGAGACGCGAAAGCGUGGGGAGCAAACAGG
rnacentral:rRNA from 1 species